UGAGGGAGCACGCCGCCGGCAAGCGCGUCGUGGUGCUUCGGUACCGAGCUGAGACCGCAGGCGUCCGUCUUUUGUUUGCGAAAAGGGAUCGCGAGGAAAGGUGCUGACCUCGGAGGGGGAGAGGUGGCGGGGGAACAGGGGGCGUUCCCACAAGGCAGUGGUGUGGAGCCGAAGGGGACUGCGAUGGAACGGGGACGGAGCCCGUUUGGACCGAGUCUUGAAGAUAGAUCUCUCUGGUUUUUGUCCGAGGAAACUUCGUCUCGAGACGGUCCUAUCGCUCGCUGGCAACGUGACUAGUCGAAUCGAGAAUGUUCGCUGCCGGAACUUCAUCCACCGAGAUGGGAAGCCAGGCAACUUCCUAACGGGCCGUGGGCAGAGUUCCCUUCUUGAUGCCGUGCCUCUAUAAUAAACUGUGCAGUCCGUUAGCUGGACGGGCUGCAGUACCCAAAUU